rnacentral:rRNA from 1 species
ACGCUGCGGCGGCUUAUACAUGCAAGUCGAGGGGCAGCAUGAGUGUAGCAAUACAUUUGAUGGCGACCGGCAAACGGGUGCGGAACACGUACACAACCUUCCUAUAAGUGGGGAAUAGCCCAGAGAAAUUUGGAUUAAUACCCCGUAACAUAAUGAUGUGGCAUCACAUUAUUAUUAUAGCUACGGCGCUUAUUGAUGGGUGUGCGGCUGAUUAGAUAGUUGGCGGGGUAACGGCCCACCAAGUCUACGAUCAGUAGCUGAUGUGAGAGCAUGAUCAGCCACACGGGCACUGAGACACGGGCCCGACUCCUACGGGAGGCAGCAGUAAGGAAUAUUGGUCAAUGGACGCAAGUCUGAACCAGCCAUGCCGCGUGAAGGAUUAAGGUCCUCUGGAUUGUAAACUUCUUUUAUCUGGGACGAAAAAAGGCGAUUCUUCGUCACUUGACGGUACCAGAUGAAUAAGCACCGGCUAACUCCGUGCCAGCAGCCGCGGUAAUACGGAGGGUGCAAGCGUUAUCCGGAUUCACUGGGUUUAAAGGGUGCGUAGGCGGGUAGGUAAGUCAGUGGUGAAAUCCUGGAGCUUAACUCCAGAACUGCCAUUGAUACUAUCUAUCUUGAAUAUUGUGGAGGUAAGCGGAAUAUGUCAUGUAGCGGUGAAAUGCUUAGAUAUGACAUAGAACACCUAUUGCGAAGGCAGCUUACUACGCAUAUAUUGACGCUGAGGCACGAAAGCGUGGGGAUCAAACAGGAUUAGAUACCCUGGUAGUCCACGCCCUAAACGAUGGAUACUCGACAUACGCGAUACACAGUGUGUGUCUGA